rnacentral:misc_RNA from 1 species
AACAACAUGGCGAGUACUAGCAUAGAAGACAAGGUCCGCUUGUCGGAAGAGUAUUCGGAGCAACUUCUUCCAAAUACAGUAACUCACUUGAUUGAGUUAGCGUUUGGAGUAUUUGGUAAUACCAUUGUCCUAGUGAUGUAUUCCAGAUAUAUAGCUGAUAAAAGCGGGACAAGGUACUUCAUCCCUAUCCUCGCCCUGGUGGACCUCAUAGGAUGUCUUUCCAACGUGACCCAAUUCCACCUGGACAACACCAUGCGAUUCGUCUACCCAAGCAUCCAUCUGUGCAAAACCACUUCAUUUCUGAUGAUAAUGUCCGGCGGAUUUUCCGCCCACUUGAUUUUAACAAUCGCCCUUCAGAGGUACCUCAUGAUUUGCCGUCCGUUUGGUCAGCAGCUGACACUAUGGUACUGCAGAUUAGCUGUUGGGAUCAUAUUUCUUUUCUCAUCUGGAUAUGCAGCUCCUGUCUUGAAAUUUGGAGGACUUUACCAAACAACAGAAAAACUAAAUACAGGAAAUGAAACUCGGAACAUCUCAGUGUCCAUUUGUCAUUUCGACGACGGUUCGCAUGGAUCUGGUGUGAUGGUUCCCUACUUCGGAACGUUGCUGCUUAUCUCGUUUAUUAACAUUAUCGUAACAUCCGGUUUAUAUAUCCCCGUGACCAAAACGAUCUAUCGAACACUCUCACCGUUCAAUGGACCCAGCUACAGAGCGAGUCGCGUUGUGGAUGGAGACACCCGAGUUACCUCCAGGGACACGCAAAGCUCAAGUGUCGAAAAGAUCAUCAUGUCGGAAAUUCCCCGACAAGGGUCAAGUUCGCGACCAAGCUGCAGCAGCGAGCGUUCACUCCCGGCCACUCCCGAAACAAGUCGUGAACAGAAGGCGCGCAAAAAAAUCAGCGUCAUGUUCAUGGUGAUAAUAAUUGUCUACGUAGUUUCGUAUCUGACGUCAUUAGUCACCCAAAUCCACAGCUUUGUGACUAGGAUUCACGUUACGGGGUACCGCCUUAACAUCUAUUUCUUCUGCCUCCGCUUCAACCUGCUAAACCAUAUCGCUAACCCGUACAUCUACUGGUUCUACGACACCAAGUUCCGGAAAGAACUCCGGAAGUUCUGUUGUGGAACAAGCCGAAAGUACUCAAUGCAAGCAAGGAGGGGGCAUUAUUUGGUAAACAAUAAUUAGAAACCGACAUGAAAUUAAAAGAAAUCAAAACAGGAAAAGGGGAAAGAAAAAUACGGUGUUGAAAUUAGUGCUGGUCUUUAAGAUAUUACCCAGAAUACCAAAUGAAUGACAGUGCAUAGAGAUGACAUUAUCUUGACAUAUGUCAGGAAAAAAACAUUGCUGGUAUUGUGCUGAUUUCAUUUUUAAAAGUUUUUGAUUGUGCUUUUAUAAUUUAUAGCUAUUGACAAUAAUCUCACUAUCAGGGUAGUUUAUGACUUGAUAAAUUCAAAAUUAUAUUCUAAGGCGCUAAAUGUUCACUGCCUUUGUGAUAAGAAAAAUGACUCUCACAGAUAAAAAUGGCGAUUAUAUGUAUCAUUCCUUUGCAUAAUUGUACAAAUGUUACGCUAUCUGAAAUAGUAGGUGUUUUGUUUGAAUUUCAGAUUGUUCGUGAUCGUCAAAUUUCAUUUUUAGUAAAAAUCAUGUUUGAAGCAGGAUAUAAUAUUUUUUUGGAAUGAACGUAAAAUGUUG